rnacentral:rRNA from 1 species
GGAGGUAGUGACGUGAAAUAACGAUGCGGGACUCUUCCGAGGCCUCGCAAUCGGAAUGAGUUAACUUUAAAUCCUUUCGACGAGGAUCGAUUGGAGGGCAAGUCUGGUGCCAGCAGCCGCGGUAAUUCCAGCUCCAAUAGCGUAUAUUAAAGUUGCUGCGGUUAAAAAGCUCGUAGUUGGAUCUCACGAUUCGAAAGACGGAGAGCGCCGUUGACGCAGUCGUGGUAGUAGUAGUACUACUACACCACGAAUCCACCUUCUCAUUCGUUUCGUUACGGUAGAAGGAGUAAUAAUAGUACGGGGAUGUCGAAUGCGCGAACAGGAUUUAUGAAAACGGUACGAGUUGAUUUUCUGACGGUGGUGGCGGAGGCGGUCGUCGUUGCUGCGGCUGUUGUUGCGGUGGUACGCUAGUGGCGAACGACCGUCGCCGCUACCGCUUCUACUACUUCGUUAAUCGUUGAUGUCCUCUUCGUUGCUUUGGCUAAUACCACUAUUCCUCUUCCUUCUUUCCAACGGACGAAAAAGAGAAGGCGAACGCCAAAGUGUCCCGGCGUAACUAAACAACCGUCCUUUUCGAUGAAAAAUAUUGUUCGGCCGGCCAGCGGCGUAGUAGUAGCCUCACCGGAAAGGGUGGUAGAAGGUGGUAUCAUUAUGGCAAUAAUAAUACAUCUUCCACCUUCGAUGGCGGUGGUGACUCUCGCGCGCUCGCGUUCGGUCGGCAACUUCACUUUGACAAAAUUAGAGUGCUCAGAGCGGGCAAGAUCUGAAGCCCGAAUGGAGGUGCAUAGAAUGAUCUAAGAUGACCUCGCGAUCUAAACGUUUGUCGGUUUAUGGGGUCGCGAGGUAAUGAUUAAA